CUGUUCGUCAUCUGUAAUCACCGGCUGCAGCAUUUAUACCCUGGUUCAACUCUCGCAAGCUGCCAGAUUAUUUCCGCCUACACCGUGUGCCUCCAACUACCGAGCUCCAGCGCCUCACCACCCAGCCUCUCAUUCAAGCCUCACCAGCCUUCACCAGCCUCACGUCAUUAAAUACCCCUUUACCCACUA